CCUUGACAUGCUGAGAACUUUCCAGAGAUGGAUUGGUGCCUUCGGGAACUCAGACACAGGUGCUGCAUGGCUGUUGUCAGCUCGUGUCGUGAGAUGUUGGGUUAAGUCCCGUAACGAUCGCAACCCUUGUCCUUAGUUACCAGCACGUAAUGGUGGGCACUCUAAGGAGACUGCCGGUGACAAACCGGAGGAAGGUGGGGAUGACGUCAAGUCAUCAUGGCCCUUACGGCCAGGGCUACACACGUGCUACAAUGGUCGGUACAAAGGGUUGCCAAGCCGCGAGGUGGAGCUAAUCCCAUAAAACCGAUCGUAGUCCGGAUCGCAGUCUGCAACUCGACUGCGUGAAGUCGGAAUCGCUAGUAAUCGUGAAUCAGAAUGUCACGGUGAAUACGUUCCCGGGCCUUGUACACACCGCCCGUCACACCAUGGGAGUGGGUUGCUCCAGAAGUAGCUAGUCUAACCUUCGGGGGGACGGUUACCACGGAGUGAUUCAUGACUGGGGUGAAGUCGUAACAAGGUAAGCGUAGAUGA
rnacentral:rRNA from 1 species